rnacentral:lncRNA from 1 species
CGCAAACCCUCCCCUUCUCUCAAACACUCUCUACUACUCAAACCCCAGUCACCCCUAACAUCUUCUCCGACCAAAUUCCACCGACGUCCAUGGCUUCUCAGGCCAUGAAUGGCAUGUGCUCUCUCCCCUUCACCCCAAAUGGUGGUGGUUCGAGGUUUUCGAGGUUCAACUAUAACAACGCCUUUCCAGAUCCUCCGCUGAUCUGAGUUUAUGUAGCUUCUUUGGAUCCAUUUCGAGGUAUUUGAGCCGUGAAAGGCCUAGCUAUGGCCCAAACCUGUUCGAGGCCAGAUCUUUUCCUAGCCUUCUCGUCUCUAUUCGAG